rnacentral:rRNA from 1 species
GACGAACGCUGGCGGCGUGCUUAACACAUGCAAGUCGAACGGAAAGGCCUUUUCGGAGGUACUCGAGUGGCGAACGGGUGAGUAACACGUGGGUGAUCUGCCCUGCACUCUGGGAUAAGCCUGGGAAACUGGGUCUAAUACCGGAUAGGACCGCACUUUAGUGUGUGUGGUGGAAAGUUUUUUCGGUGUAGGAUGAGCCCGCGGCCUAUCAGCUUGUUGGUGGGGUAAUGGCCUACCGAGGCGGCGACGGGUAGCCGGACUGAGAGGUUGGUCGGCCACAUUGGGACUGAGAUACGGCCCAGACUCCUACGGGAGGCAGCAGUGGGGAAUAUUGCACAAUGGGCGCAAGCCUGAUGCAGCGACGCCGCGUGGGGGAUGACGGCCUUCGGGUUGUAAACUCCUUUCGCCAGGGACGAAGCGUUUUGUGACGGUACCUGGAGAAGAAGCACCGGCUAACUACGUG